CAGGUCCAUAUCAUUUUUCCUACCCAGUCCAUCUCAAUUGAAUGUUAUAGCAGAAACCCUAAAACCUGCCGCCGCAUUCUUCUUCCUCUAGCUUCUUAACUUCAUCUUCUUCUUCCUUCUAAGAGUACAAAGAUGUGUGAAAGAUCUGUGGUUCAAUGGAAGAGUGAAAAGUGAAGAAGAAUUAGUGUGGAUAGUUAUAGGGAGUAUUGGAACAGAAGGAUUUUCCAUAACCGAAAAAUUCCAGUAUCUUAUCCGUUUCAAACCGAACCCGAAUUAAUCGAAGCUGGAAUUGGUCGGGAAUUGGAUCUAUAGUGUUCAUUCGACGCGUAGCUCGGUUUGGAAGCUUGGGCCCGAACCCGAACCGGCUCGAACCGAUGUCCAAAGAAAAAAGAGUUACAAUGGAAAUGAAAAAAAUUUUACAAUUGAUGGUGCUGUUUGUUGCUAUUGCAACUAUCCAUG